rnacentral:lncRNA from 1 species
GCACAACCAUUAAGACCCUCAUCUAUAGUGGACUGGAACAAAGCACAGGUGACUGUAACACAGAUUGAUGAAAGAUUCUGCAGGACGACAAAGGUUAAAGAUGUAGACCCGGAGCUAGAAGCCAGCACUGACACUGAUGGAGUGGACUGCGAUGAGAAUGCCCACAUUAUUGUCCUAUCCUCUGAUAACCAAUGUAAUAUGAAAACCGACUACAGAAGAAAGGAACAAAUUAAAUCCAUUAAUCAAGCAUAUCUCUGCUAAACAGUUGUUCGAAACUGAUGAACAAAUGAAAAAUUUACUGUUUGUUUUCAUGCUUGCAAGGAUUGGGGAAGAAAAUUAAUUAUAAGGUACUGGCCACACUAUCAGUAAAGUUUUUCUUGAGGAAACUAUUGCUUUGUCAAAGGACAAAUGAACCUCAUUAGGGAGAUUAGUUUCAGCUGGUAGUUUUGCAUUAGUACAAACUAAUAAUACACACUUCAAAAGAUACCCUGAGUAAGAUUAUGAAAAUUGAAAUCCAUUUGUUACUUCUUAAUUUACUAACUGUUAGAAAAUGACCACUCUAUUACUUAUCAUGAAACCAGAAG